ensembl:piRNA 21ur-8280 ncRNA
UUCAAGCAAUCCAAACGAUUU